GGGAAAGGAAAACUUGUUGAGGACUUGAAAACUUGCCUUGCGAAGCCAAAGGUGAAUGACCUUGAGCUGUUAACCCUCAACGUUUUUAUAUAGUAGGCCCAAGAUGCACGUGAAGCGACAUGGAAAUUCACUGAUGUGUUGCAAAAUUCCACGGGAAAUAAAACUGGUUGAACGAGUUUCCCUGCCAGGUUCCCUCCAUAACCCCAUUCCGCGUGCUACCCCGAAUCCCUAAAUAUCCCAACAAAAUUCCCACGGAAGUAAUAAAUGGAUUAUUCGCUGAAGCAAAUAACUCCUUUAUUAAUUUUAAAAGGAAACGGCAAUAUAUAAAAUCAGUUUUCUUAUUUGAAUAAUGAACUUUUACUGACUUUAUAUGUGGAAACGUUUUUUACGAAGUCGGCUAUUUUGCGAGCUGCGAGUUGGCUGUCGAAAACCGUCAGAAAGAUUUGGAACGAAAUCCUAAUAAUGAGCUGUCCGCCAUGUCGGAUAGUUGUAGAUGCAUGUUCCGAAAUCUUUUAUCUUGAGAGCCACUGAUCAUUAUAUGAGACUAAAAUUAUGCCUUGUUUACUAUUUCAAAUAACAACUUGACUGACAACAUUUUAAAAAUAUACUUAUGCUACUUGGUAACCUAUGGGGUACAGUAGUUUUAAUUAAACGCCUACUCCUGCUUCGAUGUCACCAAAGCCACGGUUAAGGCUAAUUUCUACUCAGGAAAAUUAUCCGUGGAUUGGAAUGGACAAGAAAAUUUUUCUUUGUGUUAAAGUCAUUAGUUCCAACCCAGAGCUCACAAGACAAAGAAAAAUUUACUUGUCCGUUCCAAUCCACGGAUAAUUUUCCUGAGUGGAAAUUA